rnacentral:rRNA from 1 species
AGUGGCGCAUGGGUGAGUAAAAAGAAGACUAACCUACCCUUGAGUGGGGGAUAACCUAGGGAAACUUGGGCUAAUACCGCAUAAUACCGAGAGGUCAAAGGAGCAAUUCGCUUAAGGAGGGGGUCGCGGCCGAUUAGUUAGUUGGCGGGGUAAUGGCCCACCAAGACUAUGAUCGGUAUCCGGCCUGAGAGGGCGCACGGACACACUGGAACUGAAACACGGUCCAGACUCCUACGGAAGGCAGCAGUGGGGAAUUUUGCGCAAUGGGGGAAACCCUGACGCAGCAACGCCGCGUGGAGGAUGAAGUCCCUUGGGACGUAAACUCCUUUCGAUCGGGACGAUUAUGACGGUACCGAGAGAAGAAGCCCCGGCUAACUUCGUGCCAGCAGCCGCGGUAAUACGAGGGGGGCGAGCGUUGUUCGGAAUUAUUGGGCGUAAAGGGUGCGUAGGCGGUUUGGUAAGUCUUGUGUGAAAUCUUCGGGCUCAACUCGAAGUCUGCAUGAGA